AAAGACUUUGGAGGCACUUGGAGUUAGGUAGGGAACAAGUACAUGUGAAGCCAUCUUGAAAAAACGCAUGAAAAAAUGAAACAGCAACACUGGCGACCGGUCGUUGAAGACUCUGCCUGGCGACCGGUCGCCUGCCUCGUUUCUCCAGGCUUCGAUUCUACUUCAAAACGACCAGUCGCUUUUCCCUUGCGACCGGUCGCCUCCUCCUUCACUUGUGCAUUAAUUUUGAGCCAAUUUUACAACAAUUACCACCGGUUUUCUUUUCAGAACCACGGUUGUCUUCCUCAAUCCUUAGCCUCACGAUUAGAUCUUCAAGUUCCAUCUCUUUGCGCUUAUUCUUGAGAUAAUUCUUGAAAUCUUUCCAGGAUGGACCAAAGAUGUUGCCAAGCAGCUCAAAGAACAACAAAUGGUGAUGCCUGGUCACCGUGAAUCAAACUUGCAGAAGGAGUUGAACCGAUACAUUCCCGCACAGCUGCCGCUUUUGGAGGCAUGUGCAUUGGUGCACUGACAGUGUUGGCCGAUUUCAUGGGGGCGAUUGGUUCAGGACCAGGAAUUCUGCUUGCAGUCACAAUCAUCUAUCAGUACUUCGAGACAUUUGAGAAAGAGAGAGCCAGUGACAAUUUGUUGCCACAAUGGUUGGUCUCCCUGACAAUUUUGGUGUGCUGAGAGAUGUAAGUAGGUUUUAACAGCGAAGUUCAAGAUAUUAGGCUAGUCUCUUAUCACUCCUUUGAAGAAAAUACAAAAGCAAUAAAACCUCAAAACAUAGUGUUAAUGGUUUCUUUUCUUUUUUGCAUUUCCGCCACUACCAUGUUUUUCAUUGUCAAGUAUCGUUGGAUCUAUGUAACACUAUCAGGUCCUAUGGUAAGGAUCUUUAUAAUUAACUUGUCUGAAAUGUUUAAGGACACAUUGGAGAAGGAACUGACUGAAUUUUACUCAUGCUCAAGACGGUGUUAGAAAUUCCCUUGUUAUUGUGCAAGUUUUUUCUGUUACACAAUUGACUUUGCCUUUUUCCUUUAACCUAUUAUCAUUGUUCACAAGAUUGCCUGCUUGGCUAUGCAAUUCUAAUAUUUUAUGUCAAAAAAGUCUGUCGUCCCCAUCUAAAUUAAAUUGUGUUAUUCUUCCUUCAA